UCCUAUAGGUGAAACAGAAGCUUCAAAUCAGCCGAAGUCACCGUAUUGUAAGAUGGAAUUUUCCUGAUUUUGUCAAUGAAUUGAAGACUUGUAUAGUAUGAUGGAUAUGUGUUGCAUUUUGUGUCGGCUUCCUGUACAUAUUUUAUCAGCUCGCGAUACAGCAGAAGGAAUGUCAAAGAGAUCCUAUAGGUGAAACAGAAGCUUCAAAUCAGCGGAAGUCAUCGUCUUGUAAGAUGGAAUUUUCCUGAUUUUGUCAAUGAAUUGAAGACUUGUGUAGUAUUUUGGAUGUGUUGCAUUUUGUGUCGGCUGCCUGUACUUCUUUUAUCAGCUCGUGAUAAAGCAGAAGGAAUGUCAAAGAGAUCCUAUAGGUGAAACAGAAGCUUGAAAUCAGCGGAAGUCAUCGUCUUGUAAGAUGGAAUUUUCCAGAUUUUUUUGAUGAUUUGAAGACUUGUGUAGUAUUUUGGAUAAGUGUUGCAUUUUGUGUCGGCUGCCUGUACUUCUUUUAUCAGCUCGUGAUAAAGCAGAAGGAAUGUCAAAGAGAUCCUAUAGGUGAAACAGAAGCUUCAAAUCAGCGGAAGUCAUCGUCUUGUAAGAUGGAAUUUUCCUGAUUUUUUUAAUGAUUUUAAGACUUGUGUAGUAUUUUGAAUGUGUUGCAUUUUGUGUUGGCUUCUUGUACUUCUUUUAUCAGCCCGUGAUACAGAAGAAGGAAUUUUUAAUGAGAUUCUAUAGGUGAAACAGAAGCUUCAAAUCAGCCAAAGUUACCGUAUUGUAAGACGGAAUUUUCCUGAUUUUGUCAAUGAAUUGAAGACUUGUAUAGUAUGAUGGAUAUGUGUUGCAUUUUGUGUCGGCUUCCUGUACUUCUUUUAACAGCUCGUGAUACAGCAGAAGGAAUGUCAAAGAGAUCCUAUAGGUGAAACAGAAGCUUCAAAUCAACGGAAGUCAUCUUCUUGUAAGACCGAAUUUUCCUGAUUUUUUUAAUGAUUUGAAGACUUGUGUAGUAUUUUGGAUAAGUGUUGCAUUUUGUGUCGGCUGCCUGUACUUCUUUUAUCAGCCCGUGAUACAGAAGAAGGAAAUUUUAAUGAGAUUCUAUCAGCUCGUGAUAAAGCAGAAGGAAUGUCACAGAGAUCCUAUAGGUGAAACAGAAGCUUCAAAUCAGCGGAAGUGACCAUAUUGUAAGACGGAAUUUUCCAGAUUUUUUUUCUAAAUUGAAGACUUGUGCAGUCAGUUGGAUAUGUGUUGCAUUUUGUGUUGGCUGCCUGUACUUCUUUCAUCAGCUCGUGAUAAAGCAGAAGGAAUGUCAAAGAGAUUCUAUAGGUGAAAAAGAAGCUUCAAAUCAGCCGAAGUCACCGUAUUGUAAGACCGAAUUUUCCUGAUUUUUUUUUUAAUGAAUUGAAGACUUGUGUAGUAUUUUGGAUGUGUUGCAUUUUGUGUCGGCUUCUUGUACUUCUUUUAUCAGCCCGUGAUACAGAAGAAGGAAUGUCAAAGAGAUCCUAUAGGUGAAACUGAAGCUUCAAAUCAGCCGAAGUCACCGUAUUGUAAGAUGGAAUUUUCCUGAUUUUGUCAAUGAAUUGAAGACGUAUAGUAUGAUGGAUAUGUGUUGCAUUUUGUGUCGGCUUCUUGUACUUCUUUUAUCAGCCCGUGAUACAGAAGAAGGAAUGUCAAAGAGAUCCUAUAGGUGAAACAGAAGCUUCAAAUCAGCGGAAGUCAUUGUCUUGUAAGACCGAAUUUUCCAGAUUUUUUUAAUGAUUUGAAGACUUGUGUAGUAUUUUGAAUGUGUUGCAUUUUGUGUCGGCUUCUUGUACUUCUUUUAUUAGCCCAUGAUACAGAAGAAGGAAUUUUUAAUGAGAUUCUAUAGGUGAAACUGAAGCUUCAAAUCAGCCGAAGUCACCGUAUUGUAAGACGGAAUUUUCCUGAUUUUGUUAAUGAAUUGAAGACUUGUAUAGUAUGAUGGAUAUGUGUUGCAUUUUGUGUCGGCUUCCUGUACAUAUUUUAUCAGCUCGUGAUACAGCAGAAGGAAUGUCAAAGAGAUCCUAUGGGUGAAACAGAAGCUUCAAAUCAGCGGAAGUCAUCGUCUUGUAAGAUGGAAUUUUCCUGAUUUUUUUUUAAUGAUUUGAAGACUUGUGUAGUAUUUUGAAUGUGUUGCAUUUUGUGUCGGCUUCUUGUACUUCUUUUAUUAGCCCAUGAUACAGAAGAAGGAAUUUUUAAUGAGAUUCUAUAGGUGAAACAGAAGCUUUAAAUCAGCCGAAGUCACCAUAUUGUAAGACCGAAUUUUCCUGAUUUUUUUUUUUAAUGAAUUGAAGACUUGUGUAGUAUUUUGAAUGUGUUGCAUUUUGUGUUGGCUUCUUGUACUUCUUUUAUCAGCCCGUGAUACAGAAGAAGGAAUUUUUUAUGAGAUUCUAUAGGUGAAACGGAAGCUUCAAACCAGCCGAAGUCACCGUAUUGUAAGACGGAAUUUUCCUGAUUUUUUCAAUGAAUUGAAGACUUGUAUAGUAUGAUGGAUAUGUGUUGCAUUUUGUGUCGGCUGCCUGUACUUCUUUCAUCAGCUUGUGAUACAGAAGAAGGAAUGUCAAAGAGAUCCUAUAGGUGAAACUGAAGCUUCAAAUCAGCCGAAGUCACCGUAUUGUAAGAUGGAAUUUUCCUGAUUUUGUCAAUGAAUUGAAGACGUAUAGUAUGAUGGAUAUGUGUUGCAUUUUGUGUCGGCUUCUUGUACUUCUUUUAUCAGCCCGUGAUACAGAUGAAGGAAUGUCAAAGAGAUCCUAUAGGUGAAACAGAAGCUUCAAAUCAGCGGAAGUCAUUGUCUUGUAAGACCGAAUUUUCCAGAUUUUUUUAAUGAUUUGAAGACUUGUGUAGUAUUUUGAAUGUGUUGCAUUUUGUGUCGGCUUCUUGUACUUCUUUUAUUAGCCCAUGAUACAGAAGAAGGAAUUUUUAAUGAGAUUCUAUAGGUGAAACUGAAGCUUCAAAUCAGCCGAAGUCACUGUAUUGUAAGACGGAAUUUUCCUGAUUUUGUCAAUGAAUUGAAGACUUGUAUAGUAUGAUGGAUAUGUGUUGCAUUUUGUGUCGGCUUCCUGUACAUAUUUUAUCAGCCCGUGAUACAGAUGAAGGAAUGUCAAAGAGAUCCUAUAGGUGAAACAGAAGCUUCAAAUCAGCGGAAGUCAUUGUCUUGUAAGACCGAAUUUUCCAGAUUUUUUUAAUGAUUUGAAGACUUGUGUAGUAUUUUGAAUGUGUUGCAUUUUGUGUCGGCUUCUUGUACUUCUUUUAUUAGCCCAUGAUACAGAAGAAGGAAUUUUUAAUGAGAUUCUAUAGGUGAAACAGAAGCUUUAAAUCAGCCGAAGUCACCAUAUUGUAAGACCGAAUUUUCCUGAUUUUUUUUUUUAAUGAAUUGAAGACUUGUGUAGUAUUUUGAAUGUGUUGCAUUUUGUGUUGGCUUCUUGUACUUCUUUUAUCAGCCCGUGAUACAGAAGAAGGAAUUUUUUAUGAGAUUCUAUAGGUGAAACGGAAGCUUCAAACCAGCCGAAGUCACCGUAUUGUAAGACGGAAUUUUCCUGAUUUUUUCAAUGAAUUGAAGACUUGUAUAGUAUGAUGGAUAUGUGUUGCAUUUUGUGUCGGCUGCCUGUACUUCUUUCAUCAGCUUGUGAUACAGAAGAAGGAAUGUCAAAGAGAUCCUAUAGGUGAAACUGAAGCUUCAAAUCAGCCGAAGUCACCGUAUUGUAAGAUGGAAUUUUCCUGAUUUUGUCAAUGAAUUGAAGACGUAUAGUAUGAUGGAUAUGUGUUGCAUUUUGUGUCGGCUUCUUGUACUUCUUUUAUCAGCCCGUGAUACAGAUGAAGGAAUGUCAAAGAGAUCCUAUAGGUGAAACAGAAGCUUCAAAUCAGCGGAAGUCAUUGUCUUGUAAGACCGAAUUUUCCAGAUUUUUUUAAUGAUUUGAAGACUUGUGUAGUAUUUUGAAUGUGUUGCAUUUUGUGUCGGCUUCUUGUACUUCUUUUAUUAGCCCAUGAUACAGAAGAAGGAAUUUUUAAUGAGAUUCUAUAGGUGAAACUGAAGCUUCAAAUCAGCCGAAGUCACUGUAUUGUAAGACGGAAUUUUCCUGAUUUUGUCAAUGAAUUGAAGACUUGUAUAGUAUGAUGGAUAUGUGUUGCAUUUUGUGUCGGCUUCCUGUACAUAUUUUAUCAGCCCGUGAUACAGAUGAAGGAAUGUCAAAGAGAUCCUAUAGGUGAAACAGAAGCUUCAAAUCAGCGGAAGUCAUUGUCUUGUAAGACCGAAUUUUCCAGAUUUUUUUAAUGAUUUGAAGACUUGUGUAGUAUUUUGAAUGUGUUGCAUUUUGUGUCGGCUUCUUGUACUUCUUUUAUUAGCCCAUGAUACAGAAGAAGGAAUUUUUAAUGAGAUUCUAUAGGUGAAACAGAAGCUUUAAAUCAGCCGAAGUCACCAUAUUGUAAGACCGAAUUUUCCUGAUUUUUUUUUUUAAUGAAUUGAAAACUUGUGUAGUAUUUUGAAUGUGUUGCAUUUUGUGUCGGCUUCUUGUACUUCUUUUAUUAGCCCAUGAUACAGAAGAAGGAAUUUUUAAUGAGAUUCUAUAGGUGAAACUGAAGCUUCAAAUCAGCCGAAGUCACUGUAUUGUAAGACGGAAUUUUCCUGAUUUUGUCAAUGAAUUGAAGACUUGUAUAGUAUGAUGGAUAUGUGUUGCAUUUUGUGUCGGCUUCCUGUACAUAUUUUAUCAGCCCGUGAUACAGAUGAAGGAAUGUCAAAGAGAUCCUAUAGGUGAAACAGAAGCUUCAAAUCAGCGGAAGUCAUUGUCUUGUAAGACCGAAUUUUCCAGAUUUUUUUAAUGAUUUGAAGACUUGUGUAGUAUUUUGAAUGUGUUGCAUUUUGUGUUGGCUUCUUGUACUUCUUUUAUCAGCCCGUGAUACAGAAGAAGGAAUUUUUAAUGAGAUUCUAUAGGUGAAACAGAAGCUUCAAAUCAGCCAAAGUCACCGUAUUGUAAGACGGAAUUUUCCUGAUUUUGUUAAUGAAUUGAAGACUUGUAUAGUAUGAUGGAUAUGUGUUGCAUUUUGUGUCGGCUUCCUGUACAUAUUUUAUCAGCUCGUGAUACAGCAGAAGGAAUGUCAAAGAGAUCCUAUAGGUGAAAGUGAAGCUUCAAAUCAGCGGAAGUCAUCGUCUUGUAAGAUGGAAUUUUCCAGAUUUUUUUUUAAUGAUUUGAAGACUUGUGUAGUAUUUUGAAUGUGUUGCAUUUUGUGUCGGCUUCUUGUACUUCUUUUAUUAGCCCGUGAUACAGAAGAAGGAAUUUUUAAUGAGAUUCUAUAGGUGAAAUAGAAGCUUUAAAUCAGCCGAAGUCACCGUAUUGUAAGACCGAAUUUUCCUGUUUUUUUUUUUUUAAUGAAUUGAAGACUUGUGUAGUAUUUUGAAUGUGUUGCAUUUUGUGUUGGCUUCUUGUACUUCUUUUAUCAGCCCGUGAUACAGAAGAAGGAAUUUUUAAUGAGAUUCUAUAGGUGAAACGGAAGCUUCAAACCAGCCGAAGUCACCGUAUUGUAAGACGGAAUUUUCCUGAUUUUUUCAAUGAAUUGAAGACUUGUAUAGUAUGAUGGAUAUGUGUUGCAUUUUGUGUCGGCUUCCUGUACUUCUUUCAUCAGCUUGUGAUACAGCAGAAGGAAUGUCAAAGAGAUCCUAUAGGUGAAACAGAAGCUUCAAAUCAGCAGAAGUCAUCGUCUUGUAAGAUGGAAUUUUCCUGAUUUUUUUCCUGAAUUGAAGACUUGUGUAGUCCGUUGGAUAUGUGUUGCAUUUUGUGUCGGCUUCUUGUACUUCUUUCAUCAGCCCGUGAUAUAGAAGAAGGAAUGUCAAAGAGAUCCUAUAGGUGAAACAGAAGCUUCAAAUCAGCGGAAGUCAUCGUCUUGUAAAAUGGAAUUUUCCUGAUUUUUUUAAUGAUUUGAAGACUUGUGUAGUCCGUUGGAUAUGUGUUGCAUUUUGUGUCGGCUGCCUGUACUUCUUUUAUCAGCUCGUGAUAAAGCAAAAGGAAUGUCAAAGAGAUCCUAUAGGUGAAACAGAAGCUUCAAAUCAGCGGAAGUCACCGUAUUGUAAGACCGAAUUUUCCUGAUUUUUUUUUUAAUGAAUUGAAGACUUGUGUAGUAUUUUGGAUGUGUUGCGUUUUGUGUCGGCUUCUUGUACUUCUUUUAUCAGCCCGUGA